AAUCAAAGGUGGAGGAGCACGGGAGGAACUUCAGUCGUUGUGAACAGGAAAGCAGCUGUGGAAGGAGCUCUAACUUUCCUGGGGGAAUAUGGAAGGCAGCCAUGCCGUCAACACCACCACCCACUACAGCAGCAACAGAAAGGCACGGUGCUGGCUGGGCGUGAUUGCAAACUUUGGGCUCUUCUUUGAAAAACAGUUGAUCUGAUGAGCUAGAGAAGCUUUAUUUUUGAGCUCCCAUUGAGUUGUAAUGACAACUGACAACUGUCACUCUGAACUGACUGCUAAUACAUUUGAGAAUUAAGUUGUCUGGAUAUUUUUUUUUUCAAACUUCCCUGGAGAGGAACAUCUUUUCGAUUUUUUUUUCAAUUUCAAGGAGCUGACAUUAUUUUUAGGCAAAGGGUUCAGUAACAGGCCUUAUGAAUUGAGCAGUGGGGGAUACCUCCUUUUUGUGGUUUGGGGUCAGCGGUGACACCUUAGACUAAAUGUAUCGUCCUCCAACCUCUUUCUCUUUGCCUUUCAUGGUGGAAAUACCACUCAGGUAAUUUGACUUGAGAAAUCAAACCUGAGUGGAAUGGCUUACAUGCUACGGGACGCACUGAGCAGAGACGAUGGUAGGACAAGCGCAAAUUUAAAUUAAUUCCCAGAUUUUCCCACUCCAAAGGCUGACAUCGAACUUGGCUAAUCCAUACAAAACGGAUAAAUUAAACUUGCUGUAAAGACAAAUUAGUGAGCUUUCAGCUUGCCAGCAGGUAGAGAUUUUGGACAUCGAAGAGCAGUCCAUCUGACUGAUAUUUUAAGUAUGAUUGAAGAAGAAUACUGGUGUCACCCAAUGGUAUCAGUUUUUUUCCUUUGUUCCCCAAUAAAUAUCGUACACAAUCACUGCUGACCCAUGGUCCCUACAUGCUUUCUACUAGAUUUUGUGUCCAUCCUGUACUGGCGUUUGUUUGUUUGUAUCUCACAGAUGCUACCCACAGGUCAAUGAUCAGUGUUUUAAUCAGAUUCCCACGGGUGACCUACCUAAUAUUUCAUCUUUUCACCUUGGGAUGAAAGACAAUAGCGGAAGUUUGAAGCUAACACAAACAGGCAGACAGAAGGAAGGUUGCUCUCACUUCUCUGUAAGGAGGGGGGGGUCUUCUCCUUCCCCUCCUAAAGGGAGUAACGCCUGUGACGUAAGAACAGUCAACUGAGCUGAGUGGCACACGGUCAGGGUCAGCAUAUUUAAAUAUUCACUGUCAUGUCUGUUGUCUUCUCCUGCUUUGUAAAUGGGGUGGUGAUAUUUUGUCUGGGGAGAUUUCCGUACAGAGUUUCCUAGAGAACAGAAAGGAAAGAGCAGGGGCCACUGCUGACCACAUGGUAGAAUUUGAAGGUUGGUUCCACAUAUUUUUCUUCUGUGAACUGUUGUUUGUCUCAAUAGGCUAGCUGUUAUCAGAACUUCUAGGGAGUUACUAGGAAAUGGUAGUUAAAUAGAGCCCGGGUUAAUUCUCACCAUUACCAAGCUCUUUUCACCACUGAUAUUCCAAACAUAUAAAAUGCUGUCAGUCUUGUUUUCAGCAUGUAGGGGGUGGCGUUUCAAAGACUGAGCAGACAUGACGGUCACUUACAGAUGUGAUUCAGUUUUCCACUCUACUAGAGUAACCGCCCCUGGCAUGGCUUCAGCGAAAUAUUUCUUAGAGACUGCUAGCAUGCUAAUGCAGAUCAGAAGGAAGAGCUAUGAAGAAGUUGAAAAGCCAGAACGAGAUACCUCGUUCUGGUAUGUCCAGACCACAGAUGGGGACGUGGGACAUGUUUGCUGUAAGAAGAGGGAAGGAAGUUCCCUGGCAGAUAAGCCAGGAAGUCACCAUUAUAUGUGAUUUCAAAGGAUUAGCAGGUUCAAAUCCCAUGUCUGCACAACUCUGUGGCCUUGACAAAGUCAAUUAACUUCUCUGGACCUUCAUGCUUUUAUCUGUAAUGUGUGUAUGAUGGUCCCCUUGACCUCACAGCACUACUGCGAAGAUUAAAAUUAUUGCAAACAAAGCAAUAAGGAUCUGAUAAGUGUCCCCUAGAUGCUAUAACCAAUCCACACUCCGGUAACUUCCAGGGUCUAGGAACUGUUCAGUGAGGGAGAAACGCUUCCUGAGAAGCCCUGAACGCGUGCAGACGAAGCAGUGCCGAAUGCCCGCUGGUAUUGCAGAUCCUUUCUCCUCGAGCAGGGUUGCACUUUUCUACGGCCCCUCUGAACACUCCCAAAGUUCCGGACAACUUAUUAACACCCCCCCCCCAUAGUAUCCCUUUAAGAUGGAAAUUUAUCUUUUAAACUGCAUUCAGUAAAACCAGCAGAAGGGAUUCAGGUGGGAAUAACAAACCACUAUUAAAUACAGCCACGAGGUUUCUCGGUGUUCUACAUUUUGCUGCAAGGCACACUGAAAUGGAGUAAACGUAACUUAUCCUGAGCAGUGGCUCGAGUGAGUUAGUAGAGGAGCUGGAAGUAUACAGAUGAAGCAGAGGAACCCAGGGAGAGCCGAAGGCUGUGACCAUUUUAUUUAGGAUGCGCAGUAAGGCCUGACUGAAGGCAUAGGAGGUAGGUCUUAGGAGACUUUCUCGAGGUUAGCAAACAAACGCAGGCAUCUAUAAAAAUUCCUGCUUUUGAAAUAGCCCCGUGAAAUGAUGGCUCGGGAUUCCAGGGGGAGUACCUACAAACCCAUCAAAUCCACGUAAUGUGAAUGCAGAGAGAAUGUCUAGUUGGCAGCAUUUUCUCUGCCCCCAGAAGAGUGCCUUGCCUACUUUCUCUGUCUCUCCUUGGCGCGCCUGCUGACAGGGUGUCUGUGGUAUUCCUUUGUUCUGCAAGGGCGCCCUUUAGUUCACAGUAGUCUCAAGUUCGACCAGCCAGGCUAUCCCACACGCUAUCUCUUUAGGGUCUCCACGUGGGGUUUGGGGCAGUGAGUGGGACUCCUAUCCAAAUCCCUUUGGGUGUAAAAGAGUCUCCCUGGAUCACAACGAGUGAGGAAUCCUUUUCCCCCUGUACUACAGAGGCUUAAAUAAAAUACUCCACUGACAAUGACACGCAGGGAUAAUCGUGAGCAGCCUCAUGGCUCCAACAGAUACGUCCGUUCCCUUAACCUUUCCUGGCAAUCCUCAGUUUACUUUACAACUCAGGAUUACAAAGAAUUUUAAAAGACCCUCUAAUUACCACGUAAGUAAUAAGUCAAAUUCCUCUUUCCUGGCUGCGAAGGGUUUUUAUUACACACGGCUGUAAGCACCAGCCCCCAUCCUAGCUUAGUAGCUUUCCUCCCGAUAGGUAGGACCCAUAAAAUGCUAAGAAGCAGAAGAUAUUUAUCUGUUAAAUUCUGCAUAUAGCGCCCUAACACACAUCAGAGAUGGAGAGAUAGCCCCCUGUACAGUAAGUAGUGACACUUGGGUCGACGGCUCCUUUAUGGCAGCAAUGAGAAAGCUCCGUACCCUGCACUACUGUACUCGAAAAUCAGAGUGCAAUUUUCUCAGCGUAACAUUUCAGUGCCAAAAGGAAAAGGAAACACACAGUUCUGACACUGAGAUAUUUUAUGUGGAUGAUAAAUCCCCACACCCCCAAACUCUACUAACUACAAGUAUCUCCCUAGAAGACGGGAUCUGAGAUUUAUGACAUCAGAACGAUCGGCUAUACCAGAAAACAUUUUCUUUCCCCUUCUUUUCAGGGCUGUCAACUUUGUUUACUGUUUAUGUUCAAUUCUAUCUCAUACAAGGGAUUAAAUAUCCUUGUCAGAGCCAUAUGUCAAAAUGCAAAAUCAUAUUAACGAAGAGUAUGUUCAGAGACAGAUGACAUUUAUCUCGGUUGCAACUGGAAUGUUCUAAUUAUAUUUGUACUAAUUCAAAAGAUUUCCUCUUGAAUUUGUAAUUUCGUGACAUUUUGAUGUGAUGUAAAGUUAAGCUGACUAAGGAAUGAUUAAAAUAUUAUUACAAGUCACUUCAAGGAAACACAUUUGAAAGUACCACAAGCCAAGGGAUUGUUUUCCGAAACAACACAUAUAUUGUACUAUCUAUUAACCGCUUCCACACGUUUUUAACCCAAAUUCAACCAGUUGACUAUUGAAAUCAAUCUUAAAUAAUGAUCUCCACUGGCACUAUACACACGUCAGGGUUUAAGGAGCCUCUUUGUAAUAAAGUUUUCUAAAAAUACAAUUUACAUUUCAAAACAAUACCUACCAGCAUGUCUAACAACAAUAACCGAAUCCAACUAAUUGCAACACUUUCUGCAUAGCCUAGUAAUUUGUGAAUUGUGCAGAAUAAAUCUGUUUGACAGGACAGUUAGCAAUAGAGCCUCUAGCAUGUUGCUGUUGCCGCAGAAUGAAGUAAGAUCUACGGUUUUCUGGCUGAUGUCAAAAACAUUUCAACAGUUAAUUUUUUUUUUCCCAGAGAAAAUGCUGCAAGGUUCCAGGUUCAGGCAAACAAUACACAGCCACCUUCUCAUGGUUGAAUUUUACACUUGGCUGGAAUUGGCAGAAGUUAAACCAUCUAAAGAGGUUGUUAUUUUUUUAAGAGGGAAAACUUGAUAGGGAAUUGUAUUUCUAGGUUAGAGAGUAGACACUCUGAUCUUCCUAGCAUGGGAAAACUGAAGCUGGCUGCCUGGCAAAUAAGCAUCCGAAUACCUUGCACUUAAACAAUUGCACCUACUCGGUUAAGUAACAAAAGCAGGAGACACCUGGAAUCGCAGCAUUUGCGCCCUGUGCCAGCAACAAUGUAACGCAUUCCAGUGACAUUUGACAAUGAGCAGACAGAAGAGGCAUUACACGCGUCUUGAGAAGAAUCGGGCUUCCUACCUUGAAGACACAGAGGGAGGAACUGAUCCUCACUGCACAAAGGAGCCGGGAUUGGUAAUUCCUCUAAUGAGGCACACAAAGAAUGAAAAGAAGAAAUUCAGAAAAAACUUGCUGAAUCAAUGGCCGCUGAACCUGGUCAAGUUGACUGGACAUCUUGGAAGUGUCAUCAGGUUCUUGGGAGAUAUGAAUGACACCGUCAAGUCAGUCAGGUAUUUAAUAAAAUGUUUGUGGCAUAACAGGAAGUGUGGGAAGAUUGAUAGUGAGACAAUCCCCGAGACCUUAGGGGGACAGAUUUCGUAUAGACAUAGGAAAUUUAAAAAUGGAUGAACACGAAAGAGUAGACACACAAACAUAUGUUUAAGAAAUGACACCCUCUUCCCCAGCGGCCACUAAUUGUCAAUAGAGGCUCAUACAGAGAUGGGAUCUCCUAGACUCCUCCCCAUGCACAGUAAAAUGGUGACAGACCGAUGAUGUGCAGGUAACCACAGGGACAGAAAGAUCAUGAAUGCAAGGUCAUGCCGUGUCUGGGACACAGCAGGUCACAGAACUCCCUUCCACUCUCUGGGUCUCACGCUCUUGUUCAAUAACCUUGGAGGGAGGGAUAAAGAUGCUCCCUUGCAAACGAGUAUUUUAGAAGUAAACUUCAAUGUUAUUUUAUUUCUUUACAAAAAUUCGAAAAUUAGUGCAUAAAAAUUCCCUUAUACCCUGUUAUCCCCAUUGUUAAUGUCUUACAUUGAGGUACUGACUAACACAGAAGGUUUGCUGGUUUGUUUAGAUCAACUUGCUUCUUUCCAGUGUCUUUUUCUUUCCCAUUCAAGGACUCUAUCCACGACAGCACAUUGCAUCUCCCUGUCAUUUGUCCCUUGAUGCGUUUCAGCUGUAACUAACUGUCUCUUACAUGUUCCUUGCUGACGAUGACCUCGAUAGCUAAUUGGAUGGUAGGUAGACACAAACUCUAUGGAAAAAAAGAAGAGUCAGUAAAUGCAUAGGAGGAAAGGAAGCUGCUGGUUCACAUAGCUCGGCCACAAAUGUAAUGCUUUGAGAUUAUAUUUGAAUUCAAACUAGAAUUAAUAGAUCAAGCCAUCGGACUGCCUAUGAAAAGAGAUUCUAGGCCUCACAGAUGCCGAUAUGGAGGCUCUGAACUGCAGCCCUGGUGGGUUUCACACUUAUAACAAGAACCAGUCUUGAUGGAAUGAAAUGAGUCAUAUGAAGAGAGUGGUUCCUUACUGAGCAGCCAGUGCAAUCGCGGGAAAAGGUGCCUAGAUUUCAGUUGGAGCUAAAUGGAAAACCAGGGGCAUUUUGGAGAAGAUGAACACGAUCUGAUACAAUGUCUGAAAUGGAGCAAGCACGUGACUCUGUGGCAUGUCAUUAUCACGAUAGCUUUGAGGACGGUUCACCCGGUGUCACCUACAUCUGAUCCAGAUUGCCGUCACUGCCAUCAAGCUCCAGGCUCUGGCCUUUGUUAACAUUCCCUUUGCAAGACGUCACAAUA
rnacentral:sRNA from 1 species